UGGUUUCCGAGGAAAUACAACAUCCAGCCUCAAAUCUCACUGAUCUCGCAUUCCUAGUUUUUUAAGGAACUAAGAAUAUGGAUAAGGCCGGAGAAGCUGAUUUGGAUGAUUUGGAAACGGUGGAAUAUCUGUCGGAUAUGGAGGAUAUGGAGGAUAUAGAGGCUUUGAAAGCCACUGAAGCUCUUGAAUCUGCUCCACCCUACCCAGGCCAUCCAGCAGAUUACAUAGGAAAAGAAAUGACCCACAACCAAGGAUACAAUUCAUCUCCAUAUCCCAAUAUUUAUAUGGGAUACACCUCAUACCCAGAGCCGGGAGUUAAUCCAAACUUUCAGGGAGCUCCAAAUCAAGGGAUAUAUCCUCAGGUUAACAGUCCAAACCCUGGGAUGUACCCUCAAGCUAACAGUACGUUACAGUUUAUAACUAUCAAUCUCAGACAGUUAUUUCAGUAGAUAAUACCCCAAACGACUAUCUAUUGUCAGUAUCUAAUAUCAGUGCAAUAACACCCUUUAUAAAUCUUUCUCUAUAGCUCCAAACCCUGGGAUGUAUCCUAAGACUACCACUGUAACAACCACAGUGAUGCUCCCCAGUCUGCGUGAUUUACCCGCUCAAACCAUGUGCCCUCACUGUAAGCACCAGGUCAUCACUAUAACAGAUCACUACUCUGGACUCAUGGCCUGGCUGGCCUGUGGCUGCCUUGCCCUCAUCGGGUGCUGGCCCUGUUGUCUAGCACCUUUCUGGAUGGAUUCGUGUAAAGAUGUGGAGCAUCGCUGCCCAAACUGCAACAACGUCUUGUCUUUCUACAGGCGCCUGUGAUCUAGAUUCAAACAAUUCAAUAGAUAAUAUCCCAGAUGACUACCUAUUGUCAAUAACUAAUAUCAGUGCAAUAACACCCUCUUUAAAUCUUUCUCUAUAGCUCCAAACCCUGGUCCCUCUUGGUCCUUGAUUUUAACGGGAUCUAAUGGGUAUAAGACAAAGGAAUGUGUCUGAACUUCAUUUCACACUAUGCUAAUUCCAACACAGGUUUCUCAGGUUUCAGGUAACUAUUACAACACAUGUAGUAAGAAUAUAUAAGUACAUUGUAUGAAAUAUUUAUUUGAAUAUUUAUGAAUAUAAAUAUUGUAUGAAAUAGGAUAUUUAAAACUGUUUUAAAAACUUUGGUCAGAACUCAUGCCUGUAAAUGUAGAUCGCAGUUAUGGCAGAGAUAUUGUAGAGUAUUAACAUUUGAAUGUAUCUUAAACGAGCUUUUGACAGAGUUUUGAUGUCAGUCUGAUGUUAAGGUCAAUAAAUGUUUAACAUUUACAAGCUCUAAUGCAACAUUAUAUUACUAUGGUAAAUAAUUACACUAAUCACCUUUUAGCCUCAACAUUUCAUAAUUAGCCUCACUUAAAUGAAGGCUUUCAGGGUUAACAACUGUUAUUAUCAUUAAAUGAAGCUUGUUAGAUGGUUUUAAGAAAUCAAACUAAAUAUAGUGAUGUAAGUUGUUCCUAGUAUUCUGGAACAGCUGUUUCAGUGAGGAUUCAUAUGUAAACUUUAAU